rnacentral:pre_miRNA from 1 species
AGAGAGACAACUGGGUCAAAUGGUGGUCAUUCCCAGUUUUCCAAGGAAUCUCCAUAUUGCUUUCCAUAUUGGCUGCACCAAUUUGCAGUCCCACCAGCAGU